ensembl:lncRNA
GACAAUACCAACUGUAAAAUGCUCAUUGGACAGGAAGAGAUCAACUUUUAAGAGGCAACGCAUCUUUUGUAAAACAUUCCUGACGCUGUAGCUAGAUAUAUGUUAGCAUUUAUUUCAAAAUGCACAAAAAAAAAAAAAAAAAAGAAUCGGAAUCAAUUUACUGCAUCAUGGUAUUUAUAUAAUUUCCACUGUAAUAACAGAAGCGAUCAGUUUUGCGGAUUUUCUUAUUAUGAUGGGCUUCAGCUUUUCCACUGCGAAAGAUACACCACAUGCAUCAGGUAGAAAACGCUUACGAUUCUGUGUUAGUUACACGCUGCUUACGUUUAAAUGCCUUCUGGUGGAAGAUCACAGGGACUUAACGCAUUAAAAUGGCUUUCAUAGAUGGAGAAUGAUGCGAUUGGUCUCCACAGUCAAUCACAAACUGGCAUGACCUCAUGGCAUUACACCUCAUUCAUGUGGGGUUUUACUACUGCUGGUGAGAAUCUGUGCCUGUGUGGUGGUGUGCUGUCUCUUCCUGACAAAUGAGACCAAGGUGUUCAAGUGACAUCACACAAUCUUUUUUUUUUUUUUUUUUCCUUUUAAUAUGAUGAUAUUUAUUUCUUUUCUCACUUUUUUUUUUUUUUUUUAAGAAACUCAAGGAGCAGCAAAUGGAAAAACAAUAGCACCUAAUAGCACCAAGAACGGCCAUUAGAAAUUGGCAUAUAUGUUUUUGAAACCUAUACGAGUCUUGACUUGUGUUUGGUUCUGUAGACUAGUUCUGUCCAGGUACCUGAGACAAUAGCACCAAGGUUGCCACUGAAAGUCUUUGCAAGUCUCCUUUAACUCCUCCUUUGCCAUUUAAUACCAAACCUGCUCGGCUCGCUGUAGCAGCUUGGUUCUUUAAGUUGGUCUCCUUCUGCAUCGCAGGAGUCUCUGAUUAUGAUCGCCUUGUUUCAUCACAGGAAUGUAUUGAAAUGCUGGACUUGCCUCUCCAUCUCCUGAAAAUGGGAAAAAGUGAGCCAUGUGAAAAUCACAGCAUGGGAUAACAACCGUGAAGAAGCAGACAAAAGGUCUUCAACUUCACUGAAUAGCAGCUGUGGACGAUAUGAAGAAAAGAGAUCACAAUAUUUCAAAAACA